rnacentral:lncRNA from 1 species
AGCUGCUUCCAACCUGACGGCAGAUGCUGCUGGCACUUGGUCCCCUUCACCCGCGGCUAGCGAGGGUGCAUGCGCAGUUGCAUUAGACAGUUUUCGACAUACCUUCUCAGAUGGAGUCUUACUCUGUCACCCAGGCUGGAGUCCAGUGGCAUGACCUCAGCUCAUUGCAACCUCUGCCCCACCCGGGUUCAAGCGAUUCUCCUGCCUCAGCCUCCUGAGUAGCUGGGAUUACAGGAGAGACAGAACAGCUGAGGAAACAGCAGAACGGUGGAAAAUUUUUGAAAGUGUUUUGAGCCCACCCAACCUGAGGAGAGCAUUCAAAGAAAAACAGGAAGAAGGGCUUUGGACAGUCCUGAUAAUUGGCUAACGGUGGGAUACACAUAGACUUGUUAUUAACAGCCAAGAUAACUUGAGUCAUUGAGUGACUAAGACAUGUGCCUGUCCUUACAACCAGGACAAGAUGAAGAUGCGAUCCAUGUGAAGUGUUGAAUUAACCUUGUGAAGUCCAAAUUUUGAAGAUAUGUAAACUCACUUUAAUUUAUUAAUAAGCCUAUAAUUAAGCCAAAAGGUACCUCUUUAAUAAUGAUUACCUCUGGAAAG